CUAAGCUACUAAGAGCAAACGGUGGAUGCCUUGGUGUCAAGUGAAGAAGAAAGACGUGGAAAGCUGCGAUAAGCUUCGGGGAGGAGCUAAACAUCCAUUGAUCCGGAGAUUUCUGAAUGGGGCAACCCGGCACGGUUAAUACUGUGUCAUCCUUAGGUGAAUACAUAGUCUAAGGAGGGUAACGGGGAGAACUGAAACAUCUUAGUACCCCCAGGAAAAGAAAGUAAGAACGAUUUCCCAAGUAGCGGCGAGCGAACGGGGACCAGCCCAAACCUGAUAUAUGUCAAGCCCGAAAGCGUUGUAUAUCAGGGGUCGCGGGAUGCAAUUUGAUACAGUUUCGGAUGUAUCGGGGAGUAAGAAAGCUGAUUAUUAGCAGAACAGGCUGGAAAGCCUGGCCAUAGGAGGUGAAAGCCCUGUAUGCGAAAGUGAUCAGCCUUCCUUAUUGUAUUCCCAAGUACUGCGGAACACGAGGAAUUCUGUGGGAAUUAGUGUGGACCAUCACAUAAGGCUAAAUACGACUUGACGACCGAUAGCGUACCAGUACCGUGAGGGAAAGGUGAAAAGAACCCCUGUUAGGGGAGUGAAAUAGUACCUGAAACCGUUUGCUUACAAGCAGUGGGGGCAGAUACUUAGUAUCUGUGACCGCGUGCCUUUUGCAUAAUGAGUCAGCGAGUUACUUAAUGCAGCGAGGUUAAGCCGUAAGGUGUAUCCGUAGCGAAAGCGAGUCUUAACAGGGCGUCGAGUUGCAUUGAGUAGACCCGAAACCAGGUGAUCUAUCCAUGUCCAGGGUGAAGCGGGAGUAAAAUCUCGUGGAGGCCCGAACCGUCACAGGUUAAAAACUGUUCGGAUGAGGUGUGGAUAGGGGUGAAAGGCCAAACAAACCUGGAGAUAGCUGGUUCUCUUCGAAAUAUAUUUAGGUAUAGCCUUAUAAGUUUCUUGCCGGAGGUAGAGCACUGGAUGGGCUAGGGGUCUCACCAGAUUACCAAACCUAACCAAACUCCGAAUACCGGUAAGUCAGAUUAUAGGAGUCAGCCCGCGGGAGCUAAGUUCCGCGGACGAGAGGGAAACAACCCAGACCGCCAGCUAAGGUCCCAAAAUCUAUGCUAAGUGGGGAAGGAUGUGGGAAUGCCCAGACAACCAGGAGGUUGGCUUAGAAGCAGCCAUCCUUUAAAGAAAGCGUAAUAGCUCACUGGUCUAGUGGUUCUGCGCCGAAAAUGUAACGGGGCUAAGCAUGGUACCGAAGCCACGGCCGAGCACCUAAAGUGUUAGGUGCUCGGGGUAGGGGAGCGUUCUUCUAAGGGAUGAAGGUAUGCCGUGAGGUGUGCUGGACUAAGGAGAAGUGAUAAUGCUGGCAUGAGUAACGAUAAAACGGGUGAGAAACCCGUUCGCCGUAAACCCAAGGUUUCCUGGGUAAAGCUAAUCUGCCCAGGGUUAGUCGGCCCCUAAGGCGAGGCCGAAAGGCGUAGCUGAUGGGAAACAGGUUAAUAUUCCUGUACCUGCUGGGUAGUCGUUUGAGCGAAGGGGGGACGCAGAAGGGUAGGUCAGCCACCUGUUGGAAUAGGUGGUUCAAGCCUGUAGGCUGGGGACUCAGGCAAAUCCGGGUCCCUGAUAAGGCUGAGAGGUGAUGACGAGUCAAUAAAGACGGAAGUGACUGAGCCCAAGCUGCCGAGAAAAGCCUCUAAGCGAGACUACCUGGUGGACCGUACCGCAAACCGACACAGGUGGGUGGGGUGAGUAACCCAAGGCGCUUGAGAGAACUCUGGCUAAGGAACUCGGCAAAAUGACCCCGUAACUUCGGGAGAAGGGGUGCUCUUGCGGGUGAAGGGAUUUAACUUCUGGAGCCUGGGAGAGCCGCAGAGAAAUGGCGGGGGCGACUGUUUACUAAAAACACAGGUCUCUGCUAAGUCGUAAGACGAAGUAUAGGGACUGACGCCUGCCCGGUGCCGGAAGGUUAAGGGGAUCAGUUAGCCUUCGGGCGAAGCUGUGAACCGAAGCCCCGGUAAACGGCGGCCGUAACUAUAACGGUCCUAAGGUAGCGAAAUUCCUUGUCGGGU
rnacentral:rRNA from 1 species